AGUCGAACGGCAGCACGGGAGCAAUCCUGGUGGCGAGUGGCGAACGGGUGAGUAAUACAUCGGAACGUGUCCUGUAGUGGGGGAUAGCCCGGCGAAAGCCGGAUUAAUACCGCAUACGCUCUGCGGAGGAAAGCGGGGGAUCCUUCGGGACCUCGCGCUACAGGGGCGGCCGAUGGCAGAUUAGCUAGUUGGUGGGGUAAAGGCCUACCAAGGCGACGAUCUGUAGCUGGUCUGAGAGGACGACCAGCCACACUGGGACUGAGACACGGCCCAGACUCCUACGGGAGGCAGCAGUGGGGAAUUUUGGACAAUGGGCGCAAGCCUGAUCCAGCAAUGCCGCGUGUGUGAAGAAGGCCUUCGGGUUGUAAAGCACUUUUGUCCGGAAAGAAAACCUCCGCCCUAAUAUGGUGGGGGGAUGACGGUACCGGAAGAAUAAGCACCGGCUAACUACGUGCCAGCAGCCGCGGUAAUACGUAGGGUGCAAGCGUUAAUCGGAAUUACUGGGCGUAAAGCGUGCGCAGGCGGUCCGCUAAGACAGAUGUGAAAUCCCCGGGCUUAACCUGGGAACUGCAUUUGUGACUGGCGGGCUAGAGUAUGGCAGAGGGGGGUAGAAUUCCACGUGUAGCAGUGAAAUGCGUAGAGAUGUGGAGGAAUACCGAUGGCGAAGGCAGCCCCCUGGGCCAAUACUGACGCUCAUGCACGAAAGCGUGGGGAGCAAACAGGAUUAGAUACCCUGGUAGUCCACGCCCUAAACGAUGUCAACUAGUUGUCGGGUCUUCAUUGACUUGGUAACGUAGCUAACGCGUGAAGUUGACCGCCUGGGGAGUACGGUCGCAAGAUUAAAACUCAAAGGAAUUGACGGGGACCCGCACAAGCGGUGGAUGAUGUGGAUUAAUUCGAUGCAACGCGAAAAACCUUACCUACCCUUGACAUGUAUGGAAUCCUGCCGAGAGGUGGGAGUGCCCGAAAGGGAGCCAUAACACAGGUGCUGCAUGGCUGUCGUCAGCUC
rnacentral:rRNA from 1 species